AAGCUUGCUUCUCUGAUGUUAGCGGCGGACGGGUGAGUAACGCGUGGGUAAC
rnacentral:rRNA from 1 species